GAUGAACGCUGGCGGCGUGCCUAAUACAUGCAAGUCGAGCGAACAGACGAGGAGCUUGCUCCUCUGACGUUAGCGGCGGACGGGUGAGUAACACGUGGAUAACCUACCUAUAAGACUGGGAUAACUUCGGGAAACCGGAGCUAAUACCGGAUAAUAUAUUGAACCGCAUGGUUCAAUAGUGAAAGACGGUUUUGCUGUCACUUAUAGAUGGAUCCGCGCCGCAUUAGCUAGUUGGUAAGGUAACGGCUUACCAAGGCAACGAUGCGUAGCCGACCUGAGAGGGUGAUCGGCCACACUAGAACUGAGACACGGUCCAGACUCCUACGGGAGGCAGCAGUAGGGAAUCUUCCGCAAUGGGCGAAAGCUUGACGGAGCAACGCCGCGUGAGUGAUGAAGGUCUUCGGAUCGUAAAACUCUGUUAUUAGGGAAGAACAAAUGUGUAAGUAACUAUGCACGUCUUGACGGUACCUAAUCAGAAAGCAACGGCUAACUACGUG
rnacentral:rRNA from 1 species